rnacentral:rRNA from 1 species
UACGAAGGGGGCUAGCGUUGCUCGGAAUCACUGGGCGUAAAGGGUGCGUAGGCGGGUCUUUUAAGUCAGGGGUGAAAUCCUGGAGCUCAACUCCAGAACUGCCUUUGAUACUGAAGAUCUUGAGUUCGGGAGAGGUGAGUGGAACUGCGAGUGUAGAGGUGAAAUUCGUAGAUAUUCGCAAGAACACCAGUGGCGAAGGCGGCUCACUGGCCCGAUACUGACGCUGAGGCACGAAAGCGUGGGGAGCAAACAGGA